GAUGAACGCUGGCGGCGUGCUUAACACAUGCGAGUCGAACGGUGAAGCAGGAGCUUGCUCUUGUGGAUCAGUGGCGAACGGGUGAGUAACACGUGAGCAACCUGCCCCUGACUCUGGGAUAAGCGCUGGAAACGGCGUCUAAUACUGGAUAUGUGAUGUGACCGCAUGGUCUGCAUCUGGAAAGAAUUUCGGUUGGGGAUGGGCUCGCGGCCUAUCAGCUUGUUGGUGAGGUAAUGGUUCACCAAGGCGUCGACGGGUAGCCGGCCUGAGAGGGUGACCGGCCACACUGGGACUGAGACACGGCCCAGACUCCUACGGGAGGCAGCAGUGGGGAAUAUUGCACAAUGGGCGGAAGCCUGAUGCAGCAACGCCGCGUGAGGGAUGACGGCCUUCGGGUUGUAAACCUCUUUUAGCAGGGAAGAAGCGAAAGUGACGGUACCUGCAGAAAAAGCACCGGCUAACUACGUGCCAGCCGCCGCAGUAA
rnacentral:rRNA from 1 species